rnacentral:rRNA from 1 species
AUUGAACGCUGGCGGCAGGCUUAACACAUGCAAGUCGAACGAGUGGCGGACGGGUGAGUAAUGCUUGGGCAUCUAGCUUUUGGAGGGGGAUCACUACGGGAAACUGUAGCCAAUACCGCCUACCAUAGGAUUAGCCCAAGUGGGAAUAGGUAGUUGGUGAGGUAAAGGCUCACCAAGCCGACGAUCUCUAGCUGGUCUGAGAGGAGGACCAGCCACACUGGGACGGAGACACGGCCCAGACUCCUACGGGAGGCAGCAGUGGGGAAUAUUGCGCAAUGGGGGCAGCCGGACGCAGCCAUGCCGCGGGAAUGAAGAAGGCCUUCGGUUUGUAAAGUUCGUUCAGUAGCGAGGCGUUAACUACAGAAGAAGCACCGGCUAACUCCGUGCCAGCAGCCGCGGUAAUUC